CAUUUCAUUUUAUUUUGUUUUAUUUUACUUUACUAUUUUUUUUUUUUUUUCGUUUUAUUUUAUUUUGUUUUGUCAAGCUUAAAUAAAAAAAAUAGCAUUCAUAGAAACCUAGGUGCAACCCCUUUACAAAAAUGAAGACAAAAAGAUUGAGCCCCAAGUAGCAAUCCGGUCCAACCAAAUCCGAAUACAUGGCGGGCGCCAUGACGUCUGCAACUUAAACAGGCAUAAUCCUCAUUUUCACCAUUUUUACCUUCUUCAACCUCUCUAAACCCAUUUUCUCCUCCUCCCAACUCCACCAAAGUUCACAAAAAGAUACCAACUUUCUCAUUUUGACUCCAAGCCAUUACCAUUUCCAAACUUCACUCAACCAUGUCUCCACCAAAAACCCACUAAAACUCCAUUUUUAUUCCCUUUCUAUAAAUACCCAUUUUCCUCAACAAUCACCAUUAAUGGCCAGAAUGGAGUUCAACAACAUCAUGCUUCGUGGAGGAAAACCCGGAGAGCGACAAAACAAGAUUUUGCAAAAGUUGCAAUCUCAGGAGAUCCUCGUUACCAGGUAUGUCGACGAAAAUUGUGUGUACACUUUAGGAACAUACGAUAGUGUUUUCUACAUGCUUGAUAAUUUGGGAUUACACGAUAUUUUUGCUAGUAAAGCACACACCUAUGCUAGGCUCACUAGGGAAUUUUUGAGUUCCCUAAUUUACACUGUUUACCCUGGAACUGCUAGCAUAGUAGGUACCGUCUGUUUUAGAAUGUUUAAUUUGGAAUGCGAGUACACUACCGAUGCUUUAGCGGGUUUGUUAGGUAUGCCUUACGGUGAGGGUGCUAUCUGUGAGACGCCCUUAGAUGCUGAAUGGGCACUCAAGGCAUUUACUUUUUGGAAUAGAUUAUCUAAUGUGAAUGUCACUUCCUUUGAAGGAAUUUUGGCUUCUAAUUUUCAUAACCCGACCAUACGUAUUUUUAGAUACCUUUUGGCAUGUACCAUAUUUGGCCGGGAGAAUUCUAACAAAGUAAAUGCUUGUGAGUUGCUAUUUUUACAGGGUUGUCUCACUAAUUGCAGGAUCAAUCCUGUUCCUUUUAUGUUGGCCCAUAUGUCUGCCAUUCUUAAAAAGGGAGGAACCAUCUCUUUCGGUGGUUUGAUUACCUCCAUUGCUAGAGCGUUAAAUCUCAACGUUGAGUUAGCCACCUUAGAACCACUCCCUCACCGCACCAUUAACUUAAAUUUUUUGAAAGAUAUGAAAUUAUGCAAGGUGCGGUGAGCAGGUGGUUUUCACCUCAUGAUACAUGGUGUAGCUAUACCCAGUGUUGUGUUACCUUGCUCUCAGUGUACAGAUGUGCGACAUGCAAGGAACUGGACAUAUGAUAUUGCUGCUCCACCCUUUACCGGUCUUUUGCCACCUAACGUUCCUAUGGGCGACGAGCAAGGGACCAGCGAUGAGUAUGACUGACGCGACCAGUCACCUGCUCAUGAUAUUCCUGCUGCAUCACCUACACACACUGCACCUUCUUCGUCUAACCAUUUUGCAGGUACCACUCUCGGUUUCUACAUCACCGAGGAGAUGUGGCGCGAGCACCUGGCUCGUGAGGAAAGGCGUGACACCCUCUCUCUUGAAUACCAUAAACCAACAACUGAAAGAUAAUAUGAGUUUUAUGGUAGCUUCCCAGCAGCGUAGUGAGCAAGCACAUUGGACUAUCACUGAGUCCUUACUUGCGAUCACUAAUGAGCAGCAUCGCCAGCGACAGGCUAAUGAGCGUCACUUCGCUCUUAUCGAGGCCACACAAGGAUCUCUCUUAGAUCGCUCUCAGCAGUUGCAGGAAGGACUUAGUACUUGUAGCAUACGUUGUCGACCCAAGCAUCCUGACCAGGGCGGUGACGGUACCGGUGAUCACCCCUAGUUCUCUUCCUCUCUCUUCCAGGUUACUCCUACCCUAUCUCAUAUCUAAACAUUGAGGACAAUGUUCGGUUUAAGUGUGGGAGGAGAUUUUUAUCUCUCUUUAUCUUUCCUUUAUUUUUAUCGCUUUUUAUCGCUUUCCUUUAUUCUUUAUCGCUUUUUAUUGUUUUCCUUUAAUUUUAGUAUGUUUUAUGUUUUAGUUGUUUGUUUUUCCUUUCAAUAAAAUAACAUGUGUCUGACGAGUCAUCUGUGUAGUGUAUCCGUAUUUCUCCCAUUUCUUUAACCUUACAAAAAAAGAAUUCUAGCAAAGAAAACAGUACAUAUUGAACAUUCAGGCUAUAAGACAAGUUUAUGACGAGAUGUAAAAGACUUGGGAAGACUUUUUCUAAAAAUCGGUACUGUCUUAACACCUUAGGCUUCACGAUUAUAAGAGUCGAUCCCGAUACCCCAUAUGUUGUGGCCCUAAUUUUUGUUCCAAAUAAGUCCUUAAGUAGUUUAUCCUUGCAGUCAGCUCCAGCUUAAGCAUGCUCUACGUAGGGGACCGAUGAAAAUAAGUGAAUGAUCACAAAUAUUCCUACUUUGUUCUCAAGUCAUAUGAAAACCCGGUCUAGGUGACUCUCACACAGUCAUUUAACCCAGCAAAAUAAAGACAUAUGCGAAACAUGUAGAAGAAAAAUAAAAAAUAAUAAGCCUAUUUGUUGGUUGGUUCAGAGGUAUCUGGUGCUGAACUUGGUAGGGUGGAUUACGAUCCAAUCCCCCACAACUGCAAACUGGGUUAAAUAAAGGGGUUACACCAACUUAUGUACCAGAGCCCCAUGCUUAGAAAAAAAUAGUAAUAAGCCUAUUGGUUGGUUGGUUCAGAGGUAUCUGGUGUUGAACUUGGUAGGGUGGAUUACGAUCCAAUCCCCCACAACUGCAAAUUGGGUUAAAUAAAGGGGUUACACCAACUUAUGUACCAGAGCCCUAUGCUUAAGAUCAUAAUCACUAACCGGUCACUUUACUAUGAGUAUGUACAAAUAACAGGCUUAAUGUGAUUGCACCUGAAUGAAAAGGACUUUUAGAAAACGAAAAGAAGGCCUAGGUAUGGUGGGGUAAUGUGGAUUGAUUUGUAUAGGAACGAAGCCUAUGACCGCAAUUGCGGGAAGUGUCACUACAAUAUCCUUAGUUCGAUUCGUUAGUACCUAUCUUGGUGGGGUAAUGUGGAUUGAUUUGUAUAGGAACGAAGCCUAUGACCGCAAUUGCGGGAAGUGUCACUACAAUAUCCUUAGUUCGAUUCGUUAGUACCUAUCGAUACAUUCCUUGAAUGAACUUAUAGGUCUUCUUUCUCUGAAUUAACUCUAGUUGAUAUUGUUUUUCUUGCAUAAACUAUAAAGAGUUUUGCUUGAGGACAAGCAAAGGUUUAAGUGUGGGAAAAUUUGAUCACACUGAAUUACACUGUGUUUUUGACUCGGAUUUCACAUGUUUAUUAGGACUUUAUUAUCAUUUUGUUUGUAUUAUGCUCUCUUUUAUCUUGUUUUCAGAUAUUUAGCACUUUCAGACUCUUUUGAAAGAAACGAAGCAAAAAGACCUAAAAUUAGGGUUUUUCGGCGAAAAUUACACACAUGACGUUGCACAUCGUGGCCGCUAUAGGAGAAGCCAUGAGUCAUCAGCCCUCAACUAGGAGGUAACCGCCACGUUCCCAUGAUCUUCCCCAUUUACACACAUGGCGGGCGCCAUGAAGGGAUGGAGGGCGCCACCUUUGGAAAUCACGUUCCCACUAAGGAGAUGUUGGAGGGCACCAUGGUCUUUGCAAGCUGUUGAAAUCCUCUAUAAAUAGUUCAUUCCAUUUCAUUUUCAAAUCAUCCAACUUAGUUUACAACACUAAGCCUAUAUUUAUCAUUUGUAAAAGCGGUAAUCUGUCACAUCGGGGGGUUAUCGCACCUUAGUGAGAUUGAGUUGGGUCACUUCGAGUUGCUGUCGUCUUUAUCUUUAGGAGUCGGAGGUUUAUUUUUCUUGUACCAGAUUUAAAGCCCUCCGUUUGGAGCAGGUUCUUAUUUAUCGCUUUUAUUUAUUUAUUUGUCAUCGCUUUACAUUUAUUUUCUGCACAUCGCUUUACUUUAUUUAUUUUCCGCACUGGCUUUACUUUAUUUAUUUUCCGCACUCGCUUUACUUUAUUUAUUUUCCGCUUUUGCUUUACUUUAUUUAUUUUUCGCACUCGUUUUACUUUAUUUAUUUCCGCACUCGCUUUACUUUAUUUAUUUUCCGCACUCGCUUUACUUUAUUUAUUUUCCGCACUCGCUUUACUUUAUUUUACGCACUUUACUUGCUCUUUACGCCUCACAUUCUGAAAUAAACUUUUCAUCAUGAUCAAUACCGUUGUGUUUGUUUGUGUUACCAUGUCUGGCUAAAUCUUUUAAAGGUUAGAAUGUAAGGAUCACGGUUAAAUUAAUGUUUCAUAUAUUGAAUCUAUAGAAAUACUUUAAAGGCUGUUUUGAUUUUUAACUUGAGUUUUCUAAAACAAACUUGGUUAGUUUUAAUUAUUCAAGGAGUGCGAAAGCACCCUGGCUUAGUUAACUAGGAAUUUUUAUCACUUUAAAGGAAAAACUAUUUUUGAAACUAUUUUCGGACGCGUUGAUAGAUCUAAAAUCAGGAAACUCCUCGGGUAAAACUUUCCAAAUCAAAAUCACUUUUCAACUAAGUUUAUGAGUCUUAUUUAUUAAAAAUAAGUUUACUACUUUAGCGUUCUGCGCACCUUUAUAAGUGACAAUAAAAGGCCUUAAUUUAAGGGUAAACUCGGUUCUGAAUACGCGAAAGCGACAGUUCCUGUUAAAUGGAUUCUUUUCAAGAGUAGAAAAUAUUGCCUCAUAAGUAAUUCUAUUUAGACAAUCGAAACAUCACUUAACUGAAGUGAAAUACAUUCAACCUAUCUUUACCUGCAUUUAUUAUUUACCAUUGUUUUGCAAACCCAAUAUCUCUUUUAUACCGCCUUAGAUAAACACCGUAACGAUAGUAAUCGAUAGAUUGACAAUUUGGUCUCUGUGGGAUCGAUAUUCUUUUAUAUUACUUUGACGCAAUUCGUGCACUUGUGAAUUCACAUGAUCAAAGGGCCAAAACCUAGUUCCUGUUGGGGCAUGGUAUUUGAUGAAGUUGUUAAUCAGUACGGUAAUGGCAUUGGGGCAAUGAUUAUUACUUCUCAAGACACACAUUUUUCGUUUACAGCUAGAUUAACUUUCAACUAUACAAACAAUAUGGAUGGGUAUGAAGCUUGCAUUAUGGGGAUUGAGGAGGCCAUUAAUCUCAAAAUCAAGUAUUUGGAUGUCUAUGGAGAUUCAGUUUUGGUUGUGAAUCAGAUCAAAGGUGAGUGGGAAACGAAUCAACCCAGUUUGAUACCAUAUAGAGACUAUGCGAGGAGGAUUUCAACUUUCUUUACAAAGGUUGAAUUUCAUCAUAUCCCUCGAGAUGAAAACCGGAUGGCAGAUGCUCUUACAACGUUGGCUUCAAUGAUUGUAGUGAAGUUUUGGAAUGAAGUUCCUAAUUUGACUGUGAUGCGUCUUGAUAGGCCAUCACAUGUGUUUGUUGUUGAGGAGAUCAAAGAUGAUAAGCCAUGGUAUUUUGACAUCAAGUGUUUUCUCCAAAGUAAGAUUUACCCACCUGGGGCAUCUCUGAAAGAUAACAAGACUUUGAGGAGAUUAGCUGGAAACUUCUACCUGAAUGCUGAUGUGCUUUACAAGAGAAAUUUCGAUAUGGUUCUGCUCAGAUGCGUGGAUAGACAUGAAGCAGACUUAUUGAUGAUUGAAGUCCAUGAAGGUUCCUUUGGUAAUCAUUCCAAUGGGCAUGCUAUGGCUAAGAAGAUGUUGAGAGCAGGUUACUAUUAGUUGGCAAUGGAAUCUGACUGUUGCAAGUUUGUGAAGAAAUGCCACAAGUACCAAAUAUAUGCAGAUAAGACUCAUGUUCCUCCGACACUGUUAAAUGUCAUUUCCUCUCCAUGGCCCUUCUCCAUGUGGGGAAUUGAUAUGAUUGGCAUGAUUGAGCCCAAAGCUUCUAACGGACAUCGUUUCAUUCUGGUGGCUAUUGAUUACUUCACAAAGUGGGUUGAAGUGGCAUCGUAUGCGAAUGUGACCAAGAAAGUUGUUGUGAGGUUUAUUAAGAAUCAAAUUAUAUGUCGAUAUGGUGUGCCAAGUAAGAUCAUUACUGAUAAUGGAUAUAACUUGAAUAAUAAUAUGGUGUAAGCUCUUUGCAAAGACUUCAAGAUUGCACAUCAUAAUUCUUCUCCCUACAGACCCAAGAUGAAUGGGGUUGUUUAAGCUGCGAACAAAAACAUCAAGAAAAUCAUCCAAAAGAUGGUUAUGACGUACAAGGAUUGUCAUGAGAUGCUCCCGUUUGCCAUGCAUGGGUACCGUACAUCCAUCCGCACUUCAAUAGGGGCAACCCCUUUCUCACUUGUUUAUGAUAUGGAAGAUGUGCUCCCGGUAGAGGUUGAGAUCCCAUCAUUGCGUGUGCUGAUGGAAGCCAAGUUGACUGAAGCUGAAUGGUGUCAGACCAAAUUUGACUAGUUAAAUUUGAUUGAAGAGAAGAGGCUAAUUUCCAUGUGUCAUGGUCAGUUAUACCAGUAAAGAAUGAAGAAAGAUUUUGAUAAGAAGGCCAAACCUCGUGUAUUCGGAGAAGGUGACCUUGUGCUCAAGAAGAUCUUAUCUUUCAAACUAGAUUCUAGGGGAAAAUGGACUCCUAAUUAUGAAGGCCUAUAUGUUGUUAAGAGAGUCUUUUCAGGCGGUGCUUUGAUUCUCACAACUAUGGAUGGUGAAGAGUUCACUCGUCCCGUGAACGCUAAUGCAGUCAAGAAAUACUUCGCCUAAAAAGAAAAGAACAGUUCGUUAAGUUGAAAACCCGAAAGGGUGGCUUAGGGAAAAAAUGAGCGUCUCGGUGGAUUGAAGACCCGAAAGGGAGAUCCAGGCAAAAGUUAGAGACAUAAAACAGAAGAAUUAUCACGAUAAAUUAAGUACCCCACCUCAGGGAAAUUUAUGCAAAAAUUAGGGAUUUAUGGCAAGUAAUUGCAUCCUGUUGAUAUUCAUUCUUGAAGACUUUCUUGAGCACAAUGUUUUGUUCUGAUUUAUCUUCAACCAAAGCUAAGAGAGCAGCGGAUAUCAGAGUUGGUAGAAGGAUUAGUGAUCAUUAUAUUCAAUGUAUCCCUUUUCCAUAUAAAUUCCCAUUUUUCAACUGUUGUAAAGAUCUAUGGAGUCUUGUCAUUUACAGACUACCAUCCUAUUAAAUAAAGUUGAGCUUUUUAUCCAAUUGUUUCUACUCUUAUUUAUUCAGAUAAAUAUAAUUAAAUUUUAUUGUGAUCAUUUUGAAAUUAAAUUUUUAAAAUAGAAAUCAUGUUUUCUUAAAUAAUUAAAGCAAUUACUUUUUUAAGAGCAAUCAAUUUCAUUUAAGGGAUGUCCACAGCAGUCCGAGAACAGGUAAGCCCUAAAAGGCAAAACAUUUUUGGUUUACCCCAAGCAGUUGGUAUGAUUUAUGUUUCCUCCCCGGUCGCAUUUCAACAUCUCUAGCCGAGUUUUGUUGGUUUCCCCAACUGAGUUCGUAAUUGCCGCCCUCGAGUUGUAGGCGCAUUAUCGCAUCAGGUUGCAUAGAUUCAGCAAAUUUUGUUUCCCCUCAAGCCGCCAGCAGAGUUAUCCCUGGCCUCUGUUAUCCCUGAUUCUUGAGCAAUAUUUUGGAUCCUCUGCAAGGUUGUCUCCUAUUUGAUAUGGUGUUGACCUAAAAUCCCUCGCAGAGUUGAUGGUGCAGAUUUUCGGCAAGCCUUUUCCUUUUCCCCAGCCAGGGUUGAGCCUUUGAGGCAGAUGAUUCAUGUUCAUUCCUUAGCAACUUUUUCUCUCCGGAAGAUGCUUCCCUCCUAUGAAGAUUGGCUGAGUAUUGUAUUGGUAAUGCAGACCAGUGACAUUUGUAUCCUUUGUGAUCGUUUUGUCAGCAUAAUCAUCAUACAUAUACAUAUACAUUCAUAGAUUUCAUCAUUGCAUUAAUAAUGCAUUUUGUGAUUCAUUAUUUCUCUGAUCCACUGCUAUGGGGGUAUCCUUUCCCCCUACAUAGAUUUGGUAUGUCUGUCCUCUUUCAAUUGUAAAGUGUCAUCCCCCUUAAGCAGAAAGAAUUUAACCUUUCUCAUUCCCCACUAGGGACCAAUUCAAUGCCCUUGGUUGUUCCAAAUCUAGGCUAGGGACCAAAACCAACUUGUCUAUGGUGCAAACAAGAUCAUGAUGUAGUUGUUUUGUUGUUCCCCAGGUCAACACCAAGCAUGCUUCAAGUCACAUGCCAAUCUGAGGCAAGCCUCCACAAUCUCCCUCAAAAACCAUCCACACACCUUCCUUAUAAAUAGGUGAAGGUGUUCCACUUCAGAACCACGCUGAAAAAGAUCCCAAACUCAUUCUGAACAUCUGUGUUAAUCCUCCAUUAAUAGAGUAUCGGGUUUUCAUUUCCAGAGUACCUCAACCCCAAACAACCAUCUAGAAACCUUCACUAAACAUCACUCAAGCUUUCCAAACACCUAACUCCUCUUCCCUAAGUCUCACCUGAUCUGAGCUAUACCAUUGGAAAAAUCCCCUGAGCUACUUCUGAUUAGCUAGAUUUCUCCACCCCCAUCAUCCAAACAAGUUACUACUCCCCUUGAAAUAUCAUUCUGAUCAUUUCCCAUAAGGUUGCAGCAUUGAUUACUUGAUAUUUAGAAUUAAUUUUUGUUUUAGGUUAAGUUCAUCUUUUUUAUUUUUGAGAAGAAACUCUGCACUCAUAACCAAUCAAUGGCUCAUGAGUGUGUAGAAUGAUUUGAUUUUUAUUAUGUAAUGAGGUUCCAUGAAAAAAUCCUAUUGAUUUUGCUUUUUUCCAUCCUUCGAUUUUCAAAAAUCUCGAGGUUGAAGACGGCACUGUGUUCGUUACAUCACUAUUUUUAAUUCAAAGCAAAUUCAUGUCCUGCUUUGAUUGGUUGUUUGGCGCGCACAUUUCAUUUAUUCACUUCUUUUAUUAGUUUUUCAUUUUGGUCUGUAUCAUAACACAAUCGGGUCUUUGGCCUAGUGGUUGAGGGAGUUGACCCCCCCCAUGACCCCAAGGUUAGGGGCUCAACCCCUAACGUGUGCAUUCUGUCCAUUUUAUUUUUAACUUGUUUCAUUUUAUUUAUUUAUUUAUUUUCCACAUUUAUUAUCAUUUUGAUUUUAUUUUUUAACCCUUUCAUUUUUAUUAUUUUGCAAAUAUGUUCAACAUAAACUCCCAUUAUUUUUGUCCCUAGAAUUUAUUGGUGACUUGUUUUAUUUCAUUUCGUUAUUUUUUGAGAGACUUAUGAAGUCUUGAACUUAAGGACUAAUGAAAUCUAUUUAAGUCAUUAUAUGUUUGGAUUAGGGUUGAUUAAAACCUCCCAUACUUCAAACCUACUAGUGGAUGAUCUUGUAUUCAUCCAUGUUACUUUAAAGCAUGGAUAGGUUGCCCCUACUUCAAAUAACUUGGUCAUUUGACUUGUGGAUGAAGUCUUAUCUUGUUAACUUGGUUUCAUAUGAUACAUUGUUGAUUCAUUUGGUUUGUACUAACCCACUAACACCUUACUCUCUUUUGUUUAUACACUAACCAUUACUAACUUGUUAAUAUUAUGCUUUGUCCAUAUAACUUGUUAACUUAAUCAAUCAUUAAUCUUUCAACUUUGGAUUGUAUAGUCUUCCUUUUGUCAAUCUAUUGAUAGAUGGACUCGAGGUUGAAUAAUUUUCUUUGUUACAAAUCUAUUGUAAGGUGAUCCAUUGAAGGGUUUAUAGGUCUCAAAUCCGAAUAUAUGCAUGAGGAAGCCAAAAUGUUUGGGCCUUAAGCCAAUGCAAGUAGUCAAACACCGGACCCAAGUCAAAUGCUAAGAUACCAAAUCUCAUCUUCACGUUUCAAGCUCAUACCAACGACGAAUCUUCACCAUCAUUCUCACUCUUCACAAAUUCUCUAUUCUCCUAUCUGAAAUUCGAACGCGAGCGUGAACGACCACGACUCCAGCUUAAUCAUCAACAUCCAAAUUGAUUCGAACUCCUCGUCAUCGACCUCAUCGUGCUUCAAAUCAGAGUCGCAACAUGGAUUUCCUUUGCAAAUAUCUUCACUGUGGAUUUGAUUCUUUACACCUCAGCUUCAAGGAUUGUGUCGUGUCUUCACCAAUUCCAUAGAUUCAUGUUUCAGUAUCCAAAAUUUAUAGAUAACAAGCUCGAAGGACUUACAGUAUCGACUUCGACUUCGCAGGUAGAGUCUCCUUAUCCUUCGAUUCUCCUCUUCUUCAAUGCCUUCUUCUUCUUGUUUCUGUAGAUGGUAGGAAUUGCAGAAGCUGUUGAUUUUGAUGUUGUAGCGUUUCCCUGCAUUUUGGUUGUUGUACGUGAAUGCGGAGAGUGGAAUUUUGAUGCAGAAAAAGAAGUUUUGAUGCAUAAGGGCAUGUUUGAAACACUUUUCAAUUUUAGUUCUUAAAAUUUGUUUUUCAAAUCUAUUUUAAAAAACUAUUUUAAGAAGAAAAUUAACAAAAAAUUUGUUUGAUAAAGUAAUUUUUAAAAACUGUUUUAAAAAUAUGAAAAUGAAAAAACUUGUUUGAUAAUCUAAUCUUUUAAAAUCACAUUAACGUUAUAAAUGAAAAUUAUAAAAUUUUUAUGUUUUUUCUUCAAGUUUUAUAAUACUAAAAACUAAAAAGUGAGAAGCAAAACACAACUAAACUGUUUCACUUUUUUACUUUUAAAAUGACUUUUUAUCUUUUCUCAAAAAUUUUUGUGAAUUGCAAAACAUUAUAUUCAAACAAGUUUUUAAAUUUUAAAUUUUCAAAAACUAAAAAAGAGUUUUUAAGAUGCAUUUCAAACAGGCCCUAAGUCUUUUGGUCGAAGAAUAAAAUAGUUUUGUCAAUGCAUAACGAAGAAGAACAGAAAAUGCAGAAGAAGAACAAAAAAUGCAGAAUGAAUGCAGAAUGAAUUUUUUCUUCCAAUCUGAACUGCCAUGAGGUAUAUAUAGGAAUCACAAUAUGUUACCAAAUUCUCAUGAAAUUCAUAUUGAAAUGCAUAAUUAGUUAGAAAUGAAAAUGUUAGUUGGAAAUUCAGAUUGAAAUGUAAUUUACAGUGAAAUGAAAUUUGGUUAGUGACUUCCUGUUAUUGACUCAGUUUUGCUAAAUGUCAGGUAUCAAGUGAAACCCUAUUUUUCUGUUAAUCCCUUAGUUUCCAGGUAUACAUUUUAUUAUAUUUAGGUGUUAAUGCUAAUUUAAAUUAAUUGUUUGAAAUUAGUGGCGCGCCGGGUAGGGGUAUAGUUAGCUCAAUCAGGUUAAUUAUCAAUUGAAAUUAAUUGGUUGAACUCAACAAAGUCCUGUUAAUGUUGUUACAGUUAAUGGUUGUUUAGCUGCAUUAGUGAUUAGGUUUGUUGUGAAAUGGAUAAACUCAAAAUUGAAGUUGUGUAUUUAAUACCUAUGAUAAUUGUAUAUGAUAGUGCUCAAUUACCAAUCUGAAUCCUUUGAAGUUAAAUUAUGCAUUGGUGUAAAAAUUGGAAAAACAAAUGAAUUAGUCAAGUUAUGAUUAGUUGGAUUUAGCAUUGAAGUUAAUAUGUUAGUUUGAAGUUGAUGUUAGGAUUAUAUGUUUAUGUGUAUUUCAAAGGAAUUUGAGUUGGCUUGUGGAUUUCAACCUAAGUGUGAUCAUGAAUACUUGCUAAAGCACUGUCAUUUGGGUAAGAAACAAGUUCUGAGUUCAAAUUUCUUGAAUAUGGAAUACGAGUAUGAUUGAAUCUAUGUAUGGACAUGUAUUAUUUGACUGAAAAAUAUGAAAAAUAAAAUUAUUUGGUCUUUGAAUGUAGUGUAAUUAUUAGAUGCUUGUUCUGUUGCUGAAGAUGGUGCACUAGUUCAAGCUUUGUUAUGCAUUAUUGUUAAUGGAUUGUUGAGCUACUGAAUGCGUGUGUUAGAGUCAUUGAUUGUUGGAAUGAUAUGUCGAAUUGGAUGUGUAUGUUUGCUGUUGUGAUUUAAUGUUUGAUGUUUAUUUGCAGGCCCAAAAUGCAUUGGUUAUGGCAUGGCAAGUAGAUGGAUGCGGGUGCCUUUGAAAACAUCAUGGCAUGGUAGUUUGGUGGGCUACCAAGUUCAAUCAGGAUUACUAUUUUCCCUUUUUAUCUUUCAUCAUUGUGACAUGAUAUGUAAUAUAGUGUAAUAUGGGAUGUAAUAACAUUAAGAAAUGGAUUUAUGGAAAAAUACUUAUGUAAUACUUAUGGAUAUUCAUGUAAACAUGCUUGUUUUAAUAAAAAAUUACCUAUGAUUUUAAUUCACCCAAACUUCAUUUUGCUUUGUUAUAUGAUUUUGCCUAAUUAGUGAGAUUGAUAACUUGACAUUGAAUGGAAAGUGAGUCAUGAGAUUGGAUGUUGAUUGAAAAUUGGUUGGAAAGGUUAAGGUAAUCUUGAAAUGGUUUUUUAAAUGUUAACUUAGUUUACCAUAAUUUUGGAAAUCAAAUUAAAAAAACUAGUUGAAAAUUGUUAGUUAAACAUGAUUUGCAAAUGGGUUAUGGAAGCUAAUUUGAAAUAGAAACUUAAAAAUUUAAUUUAAUUUAACAAUUGAAAGAUGGUUGAAGAAAGACUAAAUGGAAAGAAAGAUUCAUAUUUAAUGAAUUUAAUGAGCAACUCGAACCAAAUAUGAUUGAUUAAUGUCAAAUGGGUUAUGAGAGGGACGAUUGACUUUGGUCAACUAGUUGACCAAAAAGUCAAUAGUUGACCAAAGUCAACUGUGAGGCAUGAAUGGGACAAGGUUGGACCAAAUGGAUUAUCAAAUACAUAUGCAUAUAACAAGCCCUAGUCAAGAGAUGAUUGAUUCCAAAUACAUGUUGCAUGAUGCAGACCAUAAUGGUCAAAUGUCUCAUUCAAUUAAUUGGGUUUUGUAUCUAUGAAUGAAUGUCAUGAUUGUAAUCUUCUUAGACCAAGGUCUAAAAGGGCAUGAAAUUAGGGUUUCCUGGGAUCAAUAGAUAAGUUAUUAUCCACAAAUAUCAAGCAUGCAAGUCAAGGAAACACAAAUGACAUGAGCCAAGCAAAGCUAGGGAUACAAACCAAAUGAUCCAAAACUUGUCAAAAUAGGCAACAAUGCUUCAAACAAAAGACCCUAAAAAUAAUUAGGGUUGCCCAGAUCAUUCAAAGCAACCAUAUAGACUCAAACCAAAGUGGCCCACCAAGCUAGGGUUUUAAGGACCAGAUGGUCCAUCAAGGCCUAGCCAAGAAAACUAGGGUUUGCAUGAAUAAUAGGUCAAGAUGAAUCAAAACCAAAUUGUUAUUCACGAGCUUUGAAUCUAUGAUGUUCAUGAGAAGGUGUCAAUAUGAAUACAUGAUGCAUAUGAAUGAAUGCAGAUGAAUCUCAAGUUAUAGGUCAGAUGAAAAGUGAAAGGGGGGGGGGGGAUUUGGGGUACGCCAAUGAUAGAAGACACUUAAAGAUUCAACUUUCUAGUACAGUUAAGAGAUAUGAAAGAAUGUGGCACACCCGUGUCAAUCCUAUCAAUCUUAGAAACAACAUUAAUAAAACACAUACCUUGAAUCAUGUUAUCAAAUCUAGUAGUGUCCGUUCCACUCAAAGUAAUAAUUUUUCCUCCAGACUGAGCUUUCUUUGGUUUCUAGCACUAAGUAGUAAUGUAACCUGGUUCUCCAUAGUUAAAGCAAGAUAUAACAUUUCUCUUACAAUCAGCAAUAUGGCGUCCUUGCUUUCCACACUUGAAACAUUUAUGACCAGAACUCUUGCAUUCAUUAGCACGACGACCUAUCCCUCAACAACUAAAACAUCUGACAGAAGCAGAAAUGCCUUCCCCAUUUGUCUCUUUCCCACCUGAAGCCUUCCAUUUCCCUUUAUCAGCUGGAGCCCUAUAUGCUUUUCCAUAAUUUUGAUUUCCACUUUUCUUCUCACUAAUACUCUUAUAGUGAGUAGAUCUAGUAGGGUUGUCUUCACCAUAAAUUAUACAUUUACUAACCAGCACAAAUAACUGGUGAAUCUCCUGAUAUUAGAUGAAUUGUUUGAUCUCUGAACGCAAGCCAUUCUUAAACUUGAUACACUUGGAACCUAUAUCUCCUUCCCCAUUAUAACACGAGCAGAACCUUGGCAACUCUUCAAACUUCGCAACAUAAUCAUCAACUUGCAUGUUAACUUGUUUCGGCUCAAGGAACUCGAUCUCCUUUUUGCAACGGACAUCAGUAACAAAGUACUUCUCAAGGAAUUCAGUUUUCAAAUUUUCCCAAGUGAUCUCAGUACCUGCACCCUCAAGCCUCUGACAAGCAUAUCCCACAAAUAUUAUGCUUCUAAUGCUAGUUGUCGCGCCUCGAAAAAUAGGGAUACGACUUUAAGCGAAGCGCGAUCGCAUACUCGCAAUGAUGGACUGAAUAGAGUCGCCACCGAACUUUAUUUAUUCCUAAAAAGGAAAGGGGAAAUAUCGAUAAAACCCAAUACAAAACGACAAUGAUUAUUGGUCGUCGCAACCAAAUCAGGGUUCGGGAGUCGGUUACGCAAGGGGAAGGUAUUAACACCCCUCACGUAUGUUGUAUUCAAUGGGAACCGUUUAGUUAGUUUCGUUUUGAAUGUUAGUUUAUGUUAAUCUUCUCAAGUUAUAAUGAGGGAGAGAAUGAAUAGAAGAAAGAAGAAAUGUUUUUGGAUUUUUGACGAAGGACUAAACCUAAGUUUUUUAUUAGUGGGCCUGACAAGAUUUACAAAUCCUGCUCCUACGUAUCUCAAAAGAGAAAUCAAGGCUUACUGACGAAGGACUAAACCUAAGUUUUUUAUUAGUGGGCCUGACAAGAUUUACAAAUCCUGCUCCUACGUAUCUCAAAAGAGAAAUCAAGGCUUACGUAGUUCUGGGUAGAAAAUGUUUGUUUGUUGGUCAAUUUUAGCGAAAGCUAUAUUGUGUUAAUCGAUGAAAAACAUUAUUUUACCCAAAACAGAUGAGGAGUGGACGCAUACCACACAUCGAACGGAUUUAUAAAUCUACAUUCGGAAAAGCGUCACUUAUCUCGACUCAACAAUCGUAGCCGAAACAUUAUUUUGCAUCACCUUAAGACAAUAUGUCUUUCGUUUACGAAAAAGGUUUUUGAUUAAUAGCACGGCGGCGAGAAAAGAGUUUGAUUGGUUGGAUGUAUUUUUGAGUAAUGGCGAGAACUUGGAUGAGCGAGAUAUCCAUCUCGAAUCCUAGUCUCAGGAGUGCACGGUAUACACCAUGUUCCAUUUCCAUCUUAUUUGCAAAAGUAUUUAAUAAGAAUUAGGUGUUCUAGUCUCAGGAGUGCACGGUAUACACCAUGUUCCAUUUCCAUCUUAUUUGCAAAAGUAUUUAAUAAGAAUUAGGUGUUUUGAAUUUGAUUGAGAAAGGGUUUGAAGAAACCGCAUUGACAAUUUUAAGAAGAUGGCGAGAGUUAAGAUAGGCAAGGCAUCCACCUUGAAUCUUAAUCUCAGGAGUGCACGGUAUACACCAUGUUCCAUUUUCAUCCUUAUUGAAAAAGGUUAAGAUCGGAAUUAAGUAUUUUAUUUUUGAGUUUUGAAAGACGAAUAUUUGAUGAGAAUGAGACAUGAGCCUCGGGAUCUAUCACUCGGGGUUCCACCGGAAUGCUAGAUUCCAAUGGUCCUUUUUUAUUCGAAUUAUUGAAAAAAAUGGUUCGAAUAUUUACAGGUAUUUUGAAGAGAAGACGAAUACAUAGGGCUUACAAGUUCUUACAACUUGGGCCUAAUAUUCGGGAUUACGACUGGAUAUUCCAUCCAGGUAAUCUUUUUCUUCCAAUUUUAUGAAAAUGGUUUGAAAUAAAAUUAAAAAUGAUUAAUGUACAAAUGUUUGAAAUUAUUGAAAAUUAAGUUGGUAUUGCUUAAAAGCUCAUUUUAAGAAGGCCCAAGAGUAAGUCAUAGGACCGGAAAUCGACCAAAAUCGAAAGUCAACCGAAUUUAGCUCUAAGCUCACUUAGAGUGGAUUCAUGUAGGAAUCACUCUGUAAAAAGUUGAGCAACAAUCUAUACAUCCAAGCGGUUCUCAAAAGUUAAAUUAAAUUUUAACUUUUGCAAUGCAAUGAAAAUAAAGAUAGCACCAACCGCAUUGUCUUACAUUAUUACAUUAUUCUAUAUGUUCAAAAGCACACAACAAUAUCAAGUUAAAAUCUAUGAGUAAGUACUCUUAACAAUUCAAAUUGAAAAGACAAUUUAUUAAUUAAAUCUAAUCAACUACUUAAUUACACAAAUAAAUAACUACUAAUAAUCCAAGAAGUGUGCAAGAGUAAAAUAGGGAGACAAACGUUCUAAACCUGGGCCUAAGGCCCAUGACAAAAAAAAACUCUAAUAUAAAAAAAUAAAACAAAUUAUAAAACUCUAAUCUAAAACUGAAACAAAAUUAUAAAAACAUUAAUCUAAAUAAAAUAAAACAAAUUAUAAAAACAUUAAUCUAAAAAUUAAAACAAAUUAUAAAAACUCUAAUCUAAAAAAAUAAAACAAAUUAUUAAAAAACACUAAUCUAAAAAGAUCAAACAAAUUAUUAAACUCUAAUCUAAAAAUAAAACAAAUUAUUAAAAAAACUCUAAUCUAAAACAAACUAUUAUAAUAAAUUGAUUAGAUAAUAAAAAUAAAAAUAAAAAUAAACAUAGAAGCUAUACAGUACCCAAAAAAACAAAUAAUGCCAAAAUGUAUAUAAAAUAAAAAUACUAUCAGUAAGAAAAACGUAUUUCAUUGUUUUCUUUUUAAAACUAUUCAUCACCUUCAUAUAGCAUAUGGAUGCAAAUAUAAUCAACUAAAAUAUUGAAUGGCAUGGUUCUUCCCCUAAGAAUACAAAUAUUAAAACUUAGACAAGACAAUCAAAUAGGAUAUAGCAUGCUAAACAUUAACUUGUUCGAACCGAAACAUUAUCGAAAGUUAAGAUCUACAGCUAGACAUAGUUGAGUUCAAGCUCGAAACAACGGUUCGAUGUGGCUAGCAUUUAUUUUUCAUGACAGAGCUUGUGUUUGGUAUACUCAUGGUGGUUGAAAUCGUGUUUGGCUAUAUCAAAGCACGGUGGAGCUUGAAUAUGUUAUGGCGGAUGUGCGGUUGGUAUGCGUUUAUGGUGAUGAUGUUGUGAUGGAUUUUAUGUGGCGGAUGUGCGGUUGGUAUGCGUUUAUGGUGAUGAUGUUGUGAUGGAUUUUAUAUGGCGGUGGCUUGUUACGGUUUGAAUGAUGAAGGAUGAUAUUGUUGAGUUAUUGUAUGUGGAUGUUGUUGUGGUUAAUGAUGUUGAGAGAGAUAAACAGUGACCACACACAUGAAGUAGAAUACUCCUUCUUUCUCAAAUUUUUGUGUGUGAAUAUAAGAGAGCACAAGUGGGGAGUCUUUAGUGUGAAGUGAUGAAGAUAAAAGAAGAGGUUUAUCUAUGGUUACAUGAGAGAGAGUAUGGUUUUGAGGAGAUCUGUUAAAGAGCUUCAUGAGUCUCUUUAUUUAAUGAUGGAAGUUCACAUAACAGUACUUCUCUUUCUUCCCAAUGUUGAGAAGGUGAUAUCAAAAAAAGAUGUAUGCGCCGCGUGGGGUUCCUCUUUUCAUCAGCAUCUUUAGGAUUUAUAUAGUGUCAAACUAGGGUUGCUCAAUUUGAGAGAAAUACCAAAAUGCCCCUCUUUUCAAAGUUUUAGAACAAAAUUAGUUUUAAGAACUAAAUUAAAAUUGAAUUAAAUUAUUCUAAAAAAAACUAUAUUAAACUGUAACAAAGACGUAAAAAAUUCUAAUUAAUUGAUUCAAAUAUUUUUACAAAGAGAUAAAAAUAAAAUGUCUCAAAAUGGAUAAAGGUCGGGCGCAAAAGUGCUCGAAAAAUUAAAAUGAAUGCACUAAAAUGAUCAGUGUGAAAUAAACUUAUUGGAAAAAUACAGCGUUUCUUUUAAUUUUGAAAUAAAUUUUGACCGGUUAAACAGGCUCGAGCUGAUCAAAAAGUGUCCGAAAAAUUAGCUGAAAAAUAAAUCGAGCAUACCAGGUUAAACUACGUGAAACGUAGAUUAAUAAAACUGAUGUCUACAAGCUUGAUUUUGAAACUUUUUCGCCCGCUAUUUUGACACACAUUUGAUAAUUGGUUCAACCGGUUUGUCUGUAAAUCUGAAAAUUCAUUUCGACUGACAUUCUAGGCAUUAUGCGGUAUGGAAUGCAUGUUAUGAUAUGCAAAGAUGCAACGACUAUGACGAAUGUGUUAAAUCGGCGAUUCUGAAAAUUCAUUUCGACUGACAUUCUAGGCAUUAUGCGGUAUGGAAUGCAUGUUAUGAUAUGCAAAGAUGCAACGACUAUGACGAAUGUGUUAAAUCGGCGAUUCAGGGUCAAAAUUGGGGUGUGACACUAGCCUAUAAGUACCAAACAUGACCUUUUGUGCGUCGGUGCAAGCCAUCACCCUGAAUAUUUUCUCAAUCUCUUGCAACCAAAUCUUAGCGCCUUCUGGGUCUUACCUCUCUUUAAAAGUCAACAUAUUGUUCCACUAAAAUUUACUCAGUCCUUUGAACUCAUCUACCAUCCUAUGUUGGUUCUGCAAUGCCUGAUUCGUCUGGCCCAUCACAUGAUCCAUAACCUUCAAAUCAUCAUAGAUUGCUCGAUAAUUUCUUCCAGAUAUUUCUCUACACAUCAGUCAACAACCAUUAGAAGAAACAUUGCAUCGACAUUGUUUGCACACAUGCCACAUAUUAGGGAACAUAUAACGUCACAAAACCUGGCCGGAUGGACCGACCUUCACCGAUACCACUACGUAACACCCUAAAACCAUAAAUCUUAAAUAAAAGAAUAAGAUCAACAUUUAAGGAUUCUACUCAAAACAUAACAUGCAUACUUUCCAAUUAAUUUCAAAACUUGCAGGGAAAUUCAAAUUAGUUAACAUAAACUUCUGAUAUCUCCUCAAUGAAGUACUCAACAAAUUAACAAAAUUCAAACAUUAACUCAAAACACAUUAAACGACACAUUCCCCGAUGUUACAGAUCAUAGAAAUAUUCCCAACUAAACAACACUAAAAUAAUAAAGAAAACAAAGAGAGCUCCAUAGUCCUCUUCCAACUCACAUCAACACUUACUCCUCUUAAGUAUUUAUAGAAUAUUGUACAGAAUAACACAAACCAAAUAACAAAUGGGUGAAAAUACACUUAAAUAUAUUAACAGUGUAAAAGAAUGCAAGGAUAGCUUAAAUCACACAAUCAACAACACACAUUCAAUUUAUACAACAACACAACAAUUCAAUUCACAUAACCUUUAUGUAUACAAUGUGACUCACAACUCGACUUUAUGCAUGUGGUACCAAUUUGGACAUCAGAGGUUUGUUACUAAUCUCGUCCACUCAAAAAUGGUUCCUCAUUCGAACUGAGUCCCCACUUAUGAACCCCAAAUUUUCACCUCUGAACCCCAGACGAUCAUUGGUCCCUAGUUUUGAACCUGUGACUUACCUCUUUCAACACACGAACACAAAAUGAUGCAUGACAUACAAAGUAAUUCAACAACAAUAAUAAAACUUAUGGUUCCACUUCUAACCAUAAUCAACAUGCGAUAUAACAUUCACACUAGUAUCCACUUCUGAAUUACUCACCUUAAUAUAACAACCAUAAUCACAUUCACAAUACAUAAUUAUAUUCGCAACAUCAUAACUCAUAAACAUAAUCAUAAUUCACCAUUUAUUAUCAUGCAAAUUAAUUCAAUUAUUAUUUCAUCAUCGUAAUAAUUCACCUUAAUCAAAUAAAUUCAUCAAAUACACCAAAAUAAAAGUCAACCAUUGACCACAUGAGAAAAUAACAUUGAAAUUCGGACCUAUCACUCAAAAUCGGUCCUUGGUGGUCAUGACGACCUACUCGUCACCUGGGUGACGGCCGUCACCCAACCCGUCAUCCUCUAUACUCACAAACCAUCACCCAUAUGAUGUAUGGCAUGGAAAAUCAUACCUAGAGACCAUGAAGGACUCCCAGUAACCAUACUGAUGCCCUUUAGCUGACCCAUAAGCAUGACAAGCAGCCUGUCACGCUGAUGCGGAAUCAUAAUAUGCAUUUUUCACUAUGGAAGCUCAUUCGAAACUCCUAUUUUGACCCCUAACAUCCCAAAUUACACACAAAAUUAUAGAUACAUAUUAUACAACAAUUAGACAUCACAUAUGCAUCGAUUAUCAUCCAAAUUCACCAAUUAAUCAUGGAUUCAAGGUUAUGUUCCUAAAACUAAUUACACAACAACGGCAACAACCACAAUCAGAAUUUAUUCCAAUACAUCAUGCAUAAUAUUCAGCACAUAAUAGAGCACAAAUAUACAGAUUAAACAUGGCAAUUAACAUAAAUUUCACGUAAUCAUAAUCAAACUAAAAAGCGCAACAAUGGAGAAACACCAGAGGAGGGUGAUGAUCUCUCUCUACCAUUCAUGCAAUUAACACCUAUAUUCAAGUAAUCCCCCUACUUGAAUUUCCAGCAGUAAAAUAAGUUUGAUUAUGGUAUUCUUCUUCUCCCUCAAGUCCUUAUUCUCUUUCUCUCACUCUUGCCUCUUUUUUUCAAUUGCACAACUUCUAUGUACUGACAAGUUUGACUCCCCUCACAUAUUCUAUUUAUUUUAACCUAAAAUAUAAUUAACUCUCAUUUUCACAUUUUUACCCCUCCAGUAAUCUCUACUUUCACCACUCUCCCUUAUUUUUCUAAUUAUUUUAUUUUAUGCCCCAAUAUCAUUAUUUCUCUUUUUUAUUAUUAUUCUAUUAUUUUAAUAAAAUGAAACUCUAUUAAAUUCCAACAAAUUUCAAAAAUUGUAAAAUAAUUACAUAACACAUGCUAUCACCAAAAUAAAUAAUUAAAAAUAUAUCAAAUCACUCAAAUAAUUAAAUAAAAGAAAAACACUAAUUAAAUAAAUUGAUCAAAUUUAAAGUGUUACAUAAGGUGGCCAACAUGCAUCGCUAUGGCAAUCGGAUGUACUCCUCCUAUUUCUUUGCUUCUUUUGUACAUAAGAUAGUUAAUUUUAUGGUGUUGUUUGGUGGUCUUUAUUAGUUGAUUUAAAUAGUUUUUUUAUUCUUAUAAGUGGGUGUUUUUUAUAUUUGUAGUCUCUAAAUAUAUUUUCUUUAAAUAAUACCUGAAUGUUAAAAUCAUAGGAAAUCUGCAUAUUUUAAAUUCGCAACAAAAUUCGUAGAAAACAUGCUGAUUAUAAAUCCGUAGAAAAAUUCGAAAAAAAAAUCUUUAAAAAAUUGUCAAUUUUAAUUUUAAGAAAAAAACAAAAAAAAUUAAUAUCAGAUAAUUAUUUCAAAAUGAAAUUUUUUCUUCUAAUCCGCAGGAAAUCUAUAAACUAUUUAAGUCUUAUUAGUUUUAUAUUAUUUACUGUAUUUAUAUAUUUUUUGUGUACUACUUGUACCACAUGUGUAAAAAGAUUCUGGUUUAAUAUUUUAUCCCUCGUUUUCUUUUAAGUAUGGUUAUAUUUGUUCAAAACUGUGUUGAGUGGUAUUCUUAUCAUUUGUGAUCUUAAUACAUCUUUAGAGUUUUAUUAAUUAUAUUUUAUUUGGUUGAUUGAAAUAAAUUAUACAAAACAAUGGAAAUGAUUCCGUAAAAAAUGGAGGAAAUGAUACAACAACAAAAAUAUAACAAAAACAUUUAAAACAUAAUUAAAUAUAUUUAUUCUCAUGUAUAAGUCAUAUUAAAGACUUCGUAUACGUUUGUUAAAAGAGACAAUACAAUUAUCCAUCGCAACAACAUUGACUUGCAAUACACUUGCCACCUUUAGGAAAUUUAUUUGUUAAACAAUAAUUGUUACAGUCUUCGUCUUUAUUUGGACAUGGACCUUGGCCAAUACAAUAAAUCCAUGAACCAGCUGCGUCUCCUGUAAUAAAUAAGGCAUUGUUAGAAAUGUAAGAGAUAGACAAUAUCAAUGUAAAUAAUGUAAAUGUAAUAGUUAAUUGUUAUUAUCAUAUUAACAUUUUUGAUAGAAAUUAAGCUCUAAACCGUCGAUUUUUUUAUUCCUUAAGUCAAUUAGUUUAGUCCAAUUGAAUUACCUCCAUUUGCUAAAAAUAUUUCAAACACAUUUUACAUAUUUUGAGAAAACGUAUUCUAAAACUCAAAACACAGGUUUCAUUUAAAACUUUUCUCUAUUAAAGUUAGUUAUAUUAAAAAUUAAAAAUUGUUAUAAUAAAUAUGAUACCUGGAGUCAAAACAGAUGCAAAGCAUAGCAACGCAUUGAAAAAAUGCACACGGUUGAUGCCAAUAGCCAUCUUUUCUUCUUUUGCAAUAUGGAGAAGGAAUGCCUCCUAGUGCUAUUUAUAGAGAUUAAUAGAAUUUCUUCAAUAAGUUAUUUUAAUUUAAAAGGGCAUAAAAUCUUUUAUUUGUUAAUUACUUUUAUGUUUUAAAAUCCUAACUAAAAAUACAUAAUUCUAGUCAAAAAAAUUCCUUUUAUAACAAGUUAUUCAAAAGAACAUCAAAUUUAGUAAAAUUUUAAUAUCUAAAAUAAUUAUAACAAAAAAUUAUUUAUAUAAGGAAUUUAUAUAUAUAUAUAUAUAUAUAAUAUAUAUAUAUAAUAUAUAUAUAUAUAUAUAUAUAUAUAUAUAUAUAUAUAUAUAUAUAUAUAUAUAUAUAUAUAUAUAUAUAUAUAUAUAUAUAUAUAUAUAUAUAUAUAUAUAUAUAUAUAUAUAUAUAUAUAUAUAUAUAUAUAUAUAUAUAUAUAUAUAUAUAUAUAUAUAUAUAUAUAUAUAUAUAUAUAUAUAUAUAUAUAUAUAUAUAUAUAUAUAUAUAUAUAUAUAUAUAUAUAUAUAUAUAUUAUAUAUAUAUAUAUAUAUAUAUAUAUAUAUAUAUAUAUAUAUAAUAUAUAUAUAUAUAUAUAUAUAUAUAUAUAUAUAUAUUAUUAUAUAUAUAUAUAUAUAUAAUAUAUAAUAUAUAUAUAUAUAUAGUAUGGACAAGAAACGAUAAAUUGAUGAUAUUUAUAGAGAUUUCUAACCGUUUAUUUGGUAAAUGAUUUCUUUUCAAAUAUCCUUUAUAUUAUUUUUGUAGUAGUAGUAUUUAGUUUUGUUAAACUUAACUUAGCUAGUGUAGGUUACUAUUUUGCUUAUGUAUUAUUAUUGUUUGUAUCUAUAAACAAUGUAGCUGUAAACAGUAAGAGUAAUAGAAGUUUGUUAUUCUCUCUCUUCUUACAUCUUCAUAACUUGUGCACCAACAAUUGGUAUCUAGAGCUCCGAUUCAGAUUCAGAGAGAAACACAGGGAAACACGAGUGAACGGUGAGGUGUUGUGUGAUUGAGUUCUUUUCUUGAAUCCGUGUUGAAUUUCUUAUCAGAAUCGUAAUAGAAUCAUAUAUCUUGAUUUUGUGGGAUUCGGAAAUACUAGUGUUUCGUGAGAUCUGAGUGAUUUGCGCAUGUUUGAAGAUGAACGGAAAUGGUAAUCUGAGUACUAAGCUUCCAGUGUUCAAUGGCAAGAACUAGAAUCGGUGGAUGAUUUUUAUACGUGUGUUGUUUGACGUUCAAAAUGUUUUUGAUCUCGUCAACAACAAUUAUGUUUUGGUUUCACUUCCAGAAAAUGCAACGGAUGCACAAAGGAAUGUUCAGCGUUAUCUGAGGAAGAAGGAUCAGAAGGCGUUGUUCUACAUCCAUCCAUGUGUGAAUAUGAAUGUGUUUGAAAAAAUCGUUGAUUCAACAAACAUCGAAGGUUGCGUGGGACACACUGGUAUGGUACUACGACGGUGAUGCAUCAGUGAAGAAGGUAAAGUUGUAGUCUCUAUGUAAGUAGUAUGAGAAUCUUAGCAUGAAGAACAAUGAAAAUGUACCUGACUAUAUCUCCAGAGUGAUUCUGAUCACAAAUGAGAUGAAGUCAUGUGGAGAAAUUUUUUCUAAAGAAAGGAUCAUUGAGAAGGUACUUAGAUCUCUUACUCCUCAGUUUGAUUAUAUUAUGGUAGCAAUUGAACAUUUUAAGGAUCUUAGCACCAUGAGAAUUGAAGAGAUGCAAAGUGGUCUGGAGGCACAAGAGUUGCGUCUGACUAAGAGAAACUCUGAAAUGGAGGUAGAGCAGCAGGUUCUGGUAAGAAAUAUCAUAAGCAUUCAUGGUCAGAAGAAAAUAAAAGAUCUGAUGGUGUUUAGAAGUCAGAAAUCUCAACUUCUGAAAUGCAUAAGAGUGCUUAGAAAGGGGGAGGAGAAGUAUGACAAUAGGAAAGUUCAGUGUUAUUGUUGUAAGAAGUUUGGCCACUUCGCUGUUGAUUAUUGGUCAAACAAGGAAAGUCAGAAGAAGCAAACGUAGCCAUAGGAGAUUCUGAUAUUGAAUAUGUGCUAUUGAUGACUUCUGAAUUCGAUGAUGCAUUUUUGGAAGACUGGUGGUAUAUGGAGACUGACUGCUUAAAUCAUCUUAUUGGAAAUAAUAAAUGGUUUGUUGAAUUUGACUUUAGAAAAAGGACAAAGAUCAGCUGUGUUGAUGAUAAAUACCUCAAUGUUAAAGGAAUGGGAAAUGUCAGAUUAGUUUAAAAAAAUGGUAAAACAACGUUGAUUCAGAGCGUGUGGUAUGCUCUUAUCAUUAAAAGCAAUAUGAUGAGUGUAGGUCAACUAAAUAAGAAAGAAUUUUCAAUUACCAUGAAGGACAAUAACUUGAAGUUGUAUGACUUUAAUCAGAAGUUUAUUAUGAAUUCAGAACAGGGGAGGAAUAGAACAUUCAAAGUGAAUGUUAAAACUGCAAAAUCUGAAUGCCUCAGUGCAACAAGUGUUGUAAGGAAAGUGAGAUGUGGCUCAAAAGAUUUGGUCAUCUGAAUUUCAGAAGCUUAUGGCAUCUGAAUUCAAAGAAGUUGGUAAAUGGAAUUUCUACAAUUAAGAAGCCAGAGAAGUCAUGCAAUGUGUGCAUGACAAGGAAGCAACCAAGACUACCAUUUGCAUCUAAAAUGCCUCCAAGGGCAAAGCAUGCUCUGGGUGUGGUGCAUUCUAAUGUGUGUGGACCAUUUCUAAUACCUUCACUUGGAGGGAAUAAAUAUCCUAUGUCAUUUAUUGAUGAGUUCAUAAGGAUAAUGUGGGUAUCCCUUAUAAAGUACGAACACAAGGUGUUUGUUAAAUUUAAGAAAUUCAGAAUCAAGGUUGAGAGUUAGAGUGGUCAGAAGCUGAAAGUUCUAAGAACUGGUGGAGGAGGUGAGUAUAACUCUACAGAGUUCAUAAAGUCCUAUGUGGAGAAUGAAAUUGAGCAUGGGGUGAUUGCUCCAUACAAUCCUCACCAUAAUGGUCUUGUUGAAAGAAUAAAUUGAACUUUGAUUGACAUGGCAAAGAGCAUGUUGAAGGAGAAGAAGCUCCCUCACACCUUGUGAGGAGAAGUUGUUGCCACUACAAGAUAUGUGCUCAAUAGGUGUCCAACCAAAAAUCUGAAGGAAAUUGUUCCUUUAGAGAAGUGGACUGGAGAUAAUUAAAGUGUGAGUCAUCCGAAGACGUUUGGUUUUGUUUGUUACAAACAUGUUCUAGAUGCUAAGAGAAGAAAGUUGGAUGACAAAAGCAGAGUUAUGUUGCUUAUAUGGUACCACAAUACAGGUGCUUAUAAGCUCUAUUGUCAUGUCACUAACAAGGUUGAAUUCAACAUAGAUGUCAUUGUGAAAGAAUAAGAAUCGUGGGAUUAGAGUAAAUCUUAAUCUAGCUCUGGUGUUGUGGAAACUUUUGAAGAUACUUCAGAAUCUAUAGCUUCCGAAGAUAUGUCGUAAUCAGAAGAUGAGUCUGACUCUGAAGGCGAGUGUAACUUUGAAGGUGAAUCUGAUUUUGAUCUAGAUUCUGAUGGUGAUUCAGAAUCUGGUGGAAAUCCUGACUCUGAAGGUGGUCAUGCCUCUGAAGAUGAUAAUGAAGGGGUUUCAACAUCUGAUAUUGUUCCAGCAUCUGAAGAAGAUUCUGAACUAGUUCAUAGUGCACAAAGAAUUAGAAACAUUCCAAAACGACUUGCAGAGUUUGACAUGCUGCAAGAUAUUGAAGUAGACUCUGAAGGAGAACUCAUUUAGUGUGCCAUGUUAGUAGACUAUGAACUAGUAAGUACUGAAAAAGUGCUCAAGAUGAAAGUGUGGAUGAAGGCCAUGAAAGAAGAACUCGAGGUUAUAGAAAGAAACAAGACUUGGGAGUUGACUGAGCUUCCAAGGGACAAGAAAGCCAACAACGUCAGAUGGGUUUUCAAGGUGAAAAUGAAGCUAUAUGGAUCAAUUGGAAAACACAAAGCAAGGUUAGUGGAAAGAGGUUUUCUAUAAAAACCUAGGUUAGACUACUCUGAGGCAUUUUCUCUUGUAGCGAGACAUGAGACAAACAAACUGGUGAUUGCAAUAACUCUAAAAUGAAUUGGCCUCUAAUGCAUCUGGAUGUGAAAUCUUCAUUUCUGAAUGGUCCAUUGCAAAGAAGAGGUAUACGUGUCACAACCUCCUGGAUUUAUGAAAAGUAAUUAGGAUGGAUGGUGUACAAGUUACAUAAAGCGUUAUAUGGACUGAAACAAGCUCCUAGAGCUUGGAAUCUGAAAAAUUGAUUCAUUUUUCAAGCUCCAAGGAUUCAGAAAGUGUGAGAUGGAGUAUGGUGUCCACAUUCAGCAUACUUCUGAAGGAAAUAUGGUUCUAUUAUGUCUGUAUGUUGAUGACAUAUUUCUAACAGGAAGUUGUGAACAUGAGAUAGCUCAGUUCAAAAAGAUUCUAAAGAAUGAGUUUGAGAUAACUGAUAUAAGAAAUAUGACAUUUUCUAGGGAUGGAGAUUUUGUACUCUAAGAAGGUUAUCAUUCUGCAUCAGUUGAAGUAUGCAUUUUGAGCUUCUAAAGAGAUUUGAGUUGCUGAAUUGUAAGGUUAUCAUUCUUCAUAAACAAAUCACAAAUGGGAUUCUGAUCUUGAAGGUGAUGAUGUAGAUGCUACAACUUUUAAUCAGUUGGUUGGAUCUCUGAGGUAUUUGUGUAAUACCAUAUCUGAUACAUUGCUAUGUAGUUGAAAUGGUUAAUAGAUUCAUGAGUAAACUGAAGUGGUCUCAUUACCAAGUUAUUAUCAAGAUUCUGAGGUACAUUAAGGGGACUCUGAAGUAUGGAGUUUUGCUCCCUUCUGGAGAAAAAAGCUAAUUCAACGUUGGUGUGUUACUCAGACUCUGAUUGGUGUGGAGACAGAGUUGAUAUAAGAAGUACUUCUAGAUAUUUGUUUAAGUAUCUGGGAAGUCCUAUUUCUUGGUGUUCCAAUAAGCAACCAAUUAUUUCUUUGUAAACUUGUGAAGCUGAAUAUAUUGCAGGUGUUAUGCCUGCAUGUCAAGCUAUUCGGAUUCUGAAUUUACUCCAGGAUCUGAAGAUCAAGGUAAACAAGCCUCUAAAGCUGAUGAUUGAUAACAAAUCUGAAUCAAUCUUGCCAAGAACCUAGUGUUGCAUGGGAGAAUCAAGUAUAUUGAGACUAAAUAUCACUUUUUGAGAAGUCAGGUUCAGAAUGGAGUGUUAAAUGUUAUGCAUUUUAGCACUCAAAGGUAGCUGAUAGAUAUUCUAACGAAAGCAAUCAAGACUGAUCAAUUUCUCCACUUGAGGGAUGAAAUUGGUGUUGUUAGUUUUGAUUAGCAGAAUAUGAAUUAAGGGAAGGUGUUAGAAAUAAUUCAUAUUCAGUAAUAUUAGUAGUAUUAGUUUUGUUAAGCUUAACCUAGAAAGUUUAUGUUGGCAUUUUGCCUACAUGACAUUAUUGUUUGUAUAUAUAAACGAUUUAAUUGUUAAUAGUAAGUAGUGUAGUGUAUAAUGGGUGUGCAUAACCAUUUGGUGUAACCGUUUUGUAAGAGUAAUAGAAGUUUGUUGUUCUCUCUUCUUCCAUCUUCAUUUUCUUUACCUUGUGCACCAAUACUUUUUCCGUUUCUUCUUUUUGAUGAUGAUGUGGAGAAGUUUAUAAGUAGGAGUUAGUGGUGGAGCCAUGACUCUGACCUUGGACUUUAGAGUAUAAUACAUAUAUAUUUAUAUAUAUAUAUAAGUGUACGGAGAAAGCAUUCGACAAAAGGUCAAGAUAAUCGAGUACUAAGAGAAACCUCGUUCGUAAUGUUUGGCGGAAGGAAGUAUUGUAUGGAAAGGGUGUAAGUUUGAUGCAUGGUGGUGGAAACGUGAAGGAUUUGAUGGAGGACGGUGGAUGUUAUGGCGGAGGUUUUGUCUAUGGUGGCUUGUGGUGCCCGGUGAUAAUGCGAAAUUACAUCGUAUAUUUGCCUUGAUUUACAUUCAAAAAUCGUACCAUUUUCAUUUAUGUUCCGAUUAUUCCACAAGUGUUCGAUUUUUUUUGCAGGUAUUUCAAUUCACAUGCUUAAAUGAGCAAAGUAUAGAAAAGGAAGGAAAAGAAGAAGAAACAAAAGAGAAACAGCAGAAAAACCAGAAAAUACAAAUCUUGUGCAGGUGGCGACUGUCACAAGCCUCGUCACGGUCGUCACGCCCUGGUUGUGACGAACGUCACAGGCCCACCACAACCGUCACAAGGCCAAAAUAAGCGUAAUGAAUUGUUCAACAGAAGUGAUCCACACGCCCCAUUUUUUCGCUCCUCAACCCACUUUCCCGUGAAUCUCUCACUCAACCAAGUCACCCUUAUUUCUCUCAACUAUGAACACCAAAUGGAUACUAUAAAAGGAUGGAAGUUGGAAACCUACGGGAACGCUUGAUUUUCCUCCCUGAAGCCAACUUUCAAGAUUUCUCUCUGCAUUUAUUUUCCACUACAAUUUUUUUUUCUAUUAUUUUUCUUCAGCAACAUUGUUUUCUUUUACCACAAUUGUUUACCUUUCCGUUCAGAGCUUUGAUUUUUCCCUUCCCUUUUCGUUUUUCAUUUAGCCAAAAGUAGUAGUUUCCUACACUGGGGAACUAUUGCAAAUUAUUUAAUUUAGUUUAAGCAAUUUUUUCGAAGAAGCAGAAUCCUACGGACCUGUGGAGGACUGCUCAAGUACUUCAAGAUUAAGCAAUAUUCGAUUAAUCCAAGUUCCAGGUUUUUAUUCAAUUAUUAUUAUUUAAUCAUGUUUGCCUUACUGUUGGUCUGUUUAUGUUCGUCUGUGUUUGCAUUAAUUAACAUGUCCGGCUAAACUACCGGUAUCGAUAUGUAAAUAAUUUAAUUAGACGGGAUUUAAUAAUAAUCGGUGUAAACUUCUUUUCUCAAAUAAUCUUUUUGGCUGUUGUUUUUAAUUUAAAUUUAAUUAACUUUGUCACGAGAGUGAGAAGCUAUUUAAUACGGUUUUUCCACGAGAGUGGGAAAUUAACUAAGGUGAGAACCAACAAUCGCGAGAGCGUGAGGGUCGAACUGGAUAGUAAAAACUAGGCAUUGAUUUUAAAAACAGUGAGAGCACUUUAAAAGCAAUUAGAACUUAUUUAUUUUCAAAAAGUAUUUUUAACUUUGCGUGAGGGUCGAACUGGAUAGUAAAAACUAGGCAUUGAUUUUAAAAACAGUGAGAGCACUUUAAAAGCAAUUAGAACUUAUUUAUUUUCAAAAAGUAUUUUUAACUUCAAAUGGGAUAGCGAGAGCAUACAUUCUGACUUAAAAGUAUAGUCGGAGUCAACAAUCACGAGAGUGUGAGAUAAAGCCUUUUAAAUGAGUAUUUUCUACUAAAAGAUAUUUGGUAAUUAAAAUAUACACCGGUGACUUAUCGAAUCCCUGACGAUUAAUACGUUGCAUACUGAUAUCCCUCUAUUAAUAUUCUCUUAAAAACUUAAUUUCCUUUGGAUUUAAUUUUGUUCAACCAAACCUCUAAAAAUCAUCUACUUAGCUAAACAUUGUAACAUCGAUAACAUUAGUUUGACCAUCGGUCCCUGUGGGUUCGAUAUCUUUUAAAACUAAAACGAAUGGACUGUGCACUUGCAGUCAAGUACCCGAUAGACUAUAUUUUAUAUACAGUCACGAGACGUAUUAAGUUUUUGGCGUCGUUUCCGGGGACCUGAUUUAUUCAAAUAGUGUGAUUCUUUCGUUGCGCAGUAUAGACUAAGGUAAAAACUAAUUUCCUUUCCCGGUUGUAUGCCAAGUACUCGCUCACAAGGCGAAAACAUAGCACCACCAAUCGCAGAAUUAAAUCGUUUCUUAUGUUUAAGACGCCGAAUACUAGAGUACCAACGAAGGUACAAUAUUCCCGAUAUCUUCUUUCCUACUACUGAACCAGUUGAAAAAUCAACCAUGGCUGCAGUAGAACCACAGAGUCGUCCUCUUAAGUUCUACGUUAUCCCGUCCCAACAAGAACCUCACAACAACAUUGAUGCCCCUGCUAUCAAUUGAAACGAUUUCGAGUUGAAACCCUCAUUAUUAUCAGUUGUCCAAUAGCAUCAAUUUGCUGGAAAUCCUAUAGACGACCGUAAUGAACAUUUGACCAAGUCUAUGCAGUACGCAGACACUGUGAAGGCGAAUGGUGUAUCUCAAGAUGCGAUAAGACUACGCCUUUUUCCUUUCUCUCUAAGAAAUAGAGCUUGGGCUUGGUUUCAAUCCUUGCCAUCCAACUCAGUCACUACAUGGGAAAAAUUGAAGAACGUUUUUUUAGCCCGAUAUUUUCUGCCAAGCAAAAUGCUAUAUUGAGAGCUCAAAUCAACGGAUUUUGACAAAAAGAUGCAGAAUCUCUCUACGACGCGUGGGAGAGAUACAGAGACAUGAUGAGGAUAUAUCCACAUCACGGUCUCGAAGACUGGGUGAUCAUUCACACAUCUUACAAUGGGCUUCUGUAUAACACAAGACUGACAGUAGACGAUGUCGCGGGUGGUGCACUUAUGGACAAACCAUACAACGAAGCCUAUCAACUCAUUGAAAACAUGGCCCAAAACCAUUGCCAAUGGGGAGGUGAAAGAACUCUAGUAGAAAAGUCCCAAACAAAAAGUGGAAUUUACGAAAUCAGUAGCCUUGACCAUGUCCAUGCAAAGGUAGAUGCCCUUGUUCAAAAGUUAGACAACUUGACCAUACCACCCGUAGCCACUGUGGCUGCCGUGACUCCAAAAUUUGAGUUAUGUGGAAUUCUUGGACACACUGAACCAGAAUGUCAUAUAUUAGCAAGAGUCUCCACUGAUCAAGUAAAUUACGCACAAGGAAAUCCUUAUUCGAAUACCUACUACCCAGGUUGGAAAAACCAUCCUAACUUUUUGUAUAAGACCAAUAAUAUCCUGUAUGCACCUAGCCAAGCACCCGCUGUUUUAUCUGGAUAUCAAAAGCCAGCUAAUAAUGCUUCUAACAUGCCUAGGAAGUCCAACCUUGAACUAAUGAUGGAAAGCUUCAUAGCUACCCAAGCUCAAACAAACAAAGACUUCUUGAACCAAAACAUACAUACUAGUGAGCAACUUAAUUUCAUAGCUACCCAAGCUCAAACAAACAAAGACUUCUUGAACCAAAACAUACAUACUAGUGAGCAACUUAAACAAUUAGCGAGCAAAGUAGACGCCUUAGCCACCCACAACAAAAUUCUUGAAACACAGAUUUCACAAGUGGCUCAACAACAAGCAUCUACUGUUGCUCCCGCUGGCACAUUUCCUGGACAGCAACAACCUAAUCCAAAAGGACAUGCAAAUGUCGUUAUAUUGAGAAGUGGAAAAGAACUAGACGGACCCGUAGAUCCAAGACUCCAAAGUCCUGCCAUGUACCAAAAACCUGACAAAAUAACAACUAAAAAGGUAAGUGAACCGAAGGAGAAGGAAGAUAAUACCCAAGAGGCCGAAGAGAAAGAAAAACCUUAUGUGCCUCCACCAUCUUAUAAACCACCCAUUCUGUAUCUUCAAAGACUCGCAAAUUCUAAAACUACAGGGCAAUUUAAGAAAUUUGUUGAACUUCUGAAGCAACUGAAUAUUACAAUUCCCUUUACAGAAGCCAUCACACAAAUGCCCUCCUAUGCCAAGUUUCUUAAAGAGAUCCUAUCCAAUAAGAAAAAGAUCGAGGAUAACGAAACAGUUACACUUACUACUGAGUGUAGUGCAAUAAUCCAAAAUAACAUGCCUCCCAAACUAAAAGACCCAGGUAAUUUCUCCAUACCCUGUGUCAUUGGAAAGUUCGUCAUAGACAAAGCUCUAUGCGACUUAGGAGCCAACAUUAGUGUAAUGCCCUUAACCAUCUGUAAAAGGCUUAACAUGGGAGAACUAAGACCAACGAAGAUGUCUGUUCAACUAGCUAACCGCUCAAUCAAAUAUCUUGUUGGUAUACUAGAGAAUGUCCCAGUAUGUGUAGGACAAUUCUACAUUCCUAGAGACUUCAUAAUCAUGGACAUCAAAGAAGAUGCCAGUACACCUAUUAUAUUAGGAAGGCCAUUCUUAGCUACCGUCGGAGCCAUAAUAGACGUGAAAAUAGGUAAGCUAACAUUCGAAGUUGGAGAAGAAAAAGUUGAAUUCAUCUUAACACAAUUCUUACAAGAGCUAGCUGUAGACGAUGUCUGUUAUCUAGUUGAUGUCAUAAACGAGUGCGUAAGAGAGAUGGAGAUGCAAGAAACCACAUAUUCUGAUAUAAUGAAAAUCCAAAUCCCUCAAAUCUUUGAAGAUGAUAAUUAGCGUGAACCAUACCAAAAUGACAAUGUAAGUGAAUGCUUAGAACUUACACCCAACCACAUGCCAUGCCUGAAGAAACCAGACUUAGAAUUAAAAACACUACCCAAGAACCUAAGAUACGAAUUCCUAGACACUGAACUCAAAAGACCUGUAAUAGUCAAUGCAGACUUAGCACAUAUUGAAACUGAAAAGUUACUAGAUGUCUUAAGAAAAUAUCCAACUGUGUUAGGCUACAUCAUCGUCGACCUAAAAGGAAUAAGUCCUUCUAUCUGUAUGCAUCGCAUUAUGCUAGAGGAAGAUUGUAAAACCUCUAGAGAACACCAGAAAAGGAUCAACCCAAUCUUAAGUACUAUAGUGAAGGAUGAAGUAAAGAAGUUAUUAGAUGCAGGAAUCAUAUACCCGAUCUCCGAUAGCCAAUGGGUUAGCCCCGUUCAUGUAGUACCCAAGAAAGGGGGCAUUACAGUUGUUAAGAACGAGAAGGGCGAAUCUAUAGCACAAAGAGUUGUGACCGGAAGUAGAAUGUGCAUCGAUUAUAGGAAACUAAACAAAGCCACUCGAAAGGAUCAUUUUCCUCUACCUUUUAUUAAUCAAAUGCUUGAACGAUUGACUAAGCAUUCCUACUUCUUCUAUCUAGACAGUUAUUCAGGAUUCUUUCAAAUUUGAAAUUCUGGUGUAGUCAGAAUUCAGAUGUUAUCCACCACGACAUGACAUCUGAUCUAACAUUGUAACUAAUACAGCAAGAUAGUUAUUAACCACUGUACUAAUAUGCACAGGUUCACAGAAUCUCAUUCUAUGUCACCCUAGAAUGUAUGAACCCUGGUUCUGUGCUUCAGAAGAAAGACUCAACAGAAGUCAACCUAGCACUCACUUCAGUUGUUUUCUCAUAGUUAUCAGCAUGAUUGUCUCAACAUUGAUUUGAGAACAUCAUCUGUUACGCAUUACAAUUUACUUAUUUUAAACUGGACAACGUUAUAACAUGCAAAAGGUAAGAACACAAGUAAUUGUUUAACCAGCUUCGGAAUUCUGCAAACAUCAACCUACGUCUGGGGGCAUACACAAGCCAGGAAGAAGAUCCGACUAUUUAGUAGUAUCAAUUCAAAGCUAAACUCACCCGUUUCAUACUUAUCACUUUAAUCCCUACCCAUGCAUCUUACCUAGGAACUUCUAGACCUAGAACCUCCAGUUUCCAUUCCUAUCACUACAAUACAAUGUAAUGCUAACCAACUUGAACUUGCUUCAACUUCGUUCAAGCACAUAAUCACUCUUGCUAAGCUUGAGUUACAAAACUCUCAGCUUUACCACUGAGAAACACAUGGUAACCAUCCACAGGUUGGGAGGUUUACCUUACACACACCCUAAUUUCAUUCUAGGAGGCUUAAAGACUAGAUACAAUCAGCUAUUUAUACUAAUCACCAAGUGGAUUUGAGGCUUCAGAAAUCGCAGCAAACUUCUCCUUUGCUGUUACAACAUCAGCAGCAAAACUUUCUGCUACAAACAAGGUCUUCAAUCUUUAGUUCCUAAAAUAUAUCUAGUUUAAAAUAUCUCCAUAUUAGUUCCUAAAAUAUCUCCCUAUUUAGUUUCCUAAAUAUCUCAAGACCUCCACAAAUAAUGCCACAAUAGGAUUCUAACUAAUUUCCACAUAUUAGUGUGCUAACAAAUAGGCUAUUUGUUAGGUUCCUUAAUUGUAGCUUGGUUGUUGGUUUCCUGGAUUUUCUCUAAGCUGUUGACUUCCUGAAGAAUAGCCCAAGAAAAGCUGAACAGAAAACUGACAACCUACAAUAUAGCAUAUGCUGUCAGGAAUGAAUGUCACGACAUUCACUUGACAUCAAGGUCCAUAUGCUGAGUCUGUUUUUUCAGAAAACAGACUGUACAAUUUUGCUGACCUGUACAUGAUCAAAAUGAACCAUCUACAGUAACAGCUUACAUUAAUAAUGUUAAAGUGGUCCAACUUAACAUUACACAUUUGGCUUACGUUAGUUCUUGUUAUUCUCUCGAGACAAACUAAGUUACAUGCUGAAGUAUAGCAGAACACACUCUGCCUAAUUUCAGUAGCCUGUGUCAAUGAUGAAUGUACAAUCCAGUUUGACAUUCAGUCAAUAGCCCUUAUGCCAGUCUGUCUUCUUGAUAACCAGACUGCAAAUGAAUACUAGGUCUAACAGAACUCCUGUGUUUAUUCCUUAGUAUCUGUUGACAGGUAUGAAUGUCACAGCAUCCAGUUUGACAUUCAAUAAUCCUGUGUUAGCUAGUCCUGCAGUAACUACAAUGUAGUCACACAUACAUGUUAUGACAUCAGUCAAGACAUUAGUGUUUUACCAUAUAAUGCCGCCAAUUAACACUACAAAAUUCCUAUCCAUCCUAACGACCAAGAGAAACAACCUUCACAUGCCCUUAUGGUACAUUUGCUUAUCGACAGAUUCCAUUUGGACUAUGCAACAUUUCAAAGAUGCAUGAUGUCAAUCUUCACUGACUUUAUAAGACGACAUUAUGGAAGUCUUUAUGGAUAAUUUUUCUGUUUAUGGGCAGAGCUUCGAAAGAUACUAUCAAAACCUUGAAAUGUACUUGAAAGAUGCGUAAAGGUGAAUUCGUCUUGAAUUGGGAGAAAUGCCAUUUCAUGGUCCAACAAGGAAUCGUGUUNAUUCACAGACUUACGACAUCUCAUUCUAUGUCACCCUAGAAUGUUAUGAACCCCUGGGUUCUGUGCUUCAGAAGAAAGACUCAACAGAAGUCAACCUAGCACUCACUUCAGUUGUUUUCUUCCAUAGUUAUCAGCAUGAUGUCUCAACAUUGAUUUGGAACAUCUCAUCUGAUCGACUUACAAUAUUACCUGAUCUCAAUGAAACUAUUAUAACACUACCUUACCCAUUCUAUCAACAACCUGUACACAAUUUCAACAUGGCCAUGCUUACCAAGUCGUGUGGUGAAACGACCCAGUUCGGUUCAAGCCAACUGUGGUUCAUCACAUACACAGCCAGGACAGGAAGAUUCCAACUAUUUAUCGGUGUGGGGUUCCGACUCCCCCGCCUCCAACGUGCUCAGCCGACGUACUAGAGAGCAAUGUCAAGAGGUUCUCUCAUAUAACGCUACCAUACGGACUCCUAUCUUGACCUGUUAUCGAUACGACGAGUGCAUUUCUCCGACACUUCACUUUAAAAAGCUCAUAUACCUGUAAUAUAUAUAUAUAUCCCUCAAAGCAAGUACUAUAUAUAUAUAUUAUAUAUAUAUAGUAUAUAUAUAUAUUAUAUAUAUUAUACCAUAUAUUAUAGGUAAUACUACCAAACUCCUAGACUAGAAACUCUAGCCUAUCUAUUCACUACAAAUCACAAUUAAUGGCACCAACUUGAACGUCUAUUUACAGGUCCAAGCUCGUUCAUCAUGAAGCCACACUAAUUCCCAACGUUCCCAUUCUAACUCACCUUAUACCUUAUAAAACUUCAUGGGCCACUUUGAGGUUUUACAUACAUCAAACAACAAACUACAUGCAAGAAAGAAACGUGAUUACCCAAACAUGGGGGCAAAGAUAACAUCUAGGGUAACGCUCGAUUUUCCACCAGGUAGAAGAGAUAGGUAUGAAGAUGCGAAAAGAAGAGAAGGAACAACAAAACUUCUAUUACUCAUUACAAAAACGGUUAGACACCCGAACUUUAAUGCUCCUUUUACAUACGCACCCACUACCCAAAUUUUCAAUUAUUAUUUCCACUUAUUCAGAGCUAGGUUACUCUAUAUAUCAAAAGACUUCAGAAAUACCAAUUCUAAAGUCUCUGAUCUUAUUAAUCCGAAUCACCCAAGUUGAAUUGGAGGUAUGAGCCUUACAAGCGAAAAAUUCAGCUGUCAUAGCAAUAGCGUAUCUGCCAUUUUGCAUGUAAUCCACAACACAUCUCAACUUCUAAGGCAGAAACGCGUGUGUGUCUAACGGCCGACAAACAAGGCGCUCUUUUCAACAAAAUUUUCAUCUUUUUAGUCCAAUUAAAAACUAAUAUUCAUCUCAUAAUUUUUAUAGCUGAUAUCCUAUGAAAAUUAUUAUUCUUCCAUAACUAUAGUUCUCGUUCCAAAACUUAAAAUAUUCACUAUCUCCGAUCAUUGUCUUCUCAAUUCUACAAAAUAUUACUACAAGACCACUCUAACACAAAAAAUUCAUUCCCCACAAAUUUAGCAGUAUUCUAACUAAUUCCUACAUAUUAGUGUCCCUCUAAACAGAUGUGAGCUAUUAUGAUAUAGGUUGUCAUUCAUUUUCUUGUAAGAUUGUUGGUGCUUUGUUCUUUUUCUGGUUAGAUUAUUAUUCUCCUAAGCUGGUUGAAACACGCUUUGAUACCUAAGAAUUGAGUGCUAAAUUAUGGGCCCUAACAUUAUAGAACAGCCUUGGGUGCACAACAUGUCAAUAGAACAUGACAACAACAUCGCACUUCUUACACAAAAAUAAGUGAAGUGCAUUUAUGUCAUGCUUUGUUCAUGGCAAAUAUACUUGAUUCUUCCCAUUUGGCAAUGGAUUUCUCACGCACUAUGGUGCAUAUUUGACAUCAACUUGGCAGAGUGAUGUGUUCCGAUUGUUUCCAAUCAAUUGUCGCUGAGAUCGUGGUUCUCUUUCAUAUAGAUAGAGUGCUAGAAUGAAUCAUGAUCACCCUUGUGAGGUAUCCUAUCAAGUAUCUUGUGGCAUGUAACAAAAUCCAUGUGAAACAUUGACCUCCAAAUAGAUAUGACAAUGAUGCAACGCAGUACUACACUAACACACUGCAACAAGAUAUCUAUACUUAUCUUAAAUGAGAUUGUCUUUUCAACAAGAGGUGUGGUCUACAAGUAAAUAACUCUCUCGAAUACUUAUUUUAGCAUUUACACACAUCCUGAACCUGUAAAAGUUUAGUUGGGCUACGUUCUCCAUAUGAUUACUCUCGCAUAUGAAACAAAACAAACUAUAAUCUAGGUUAACACUGCUGAAGAGUAACUUCGUAUAUGAUCAACUAUAGCGAAACAUCCACUCUCCACUCGGCACCUCAAAAUCAUGCUUCAGUCUGAGUAACGGAAGCCGCUGUCAAUUUUGAUGGAAUGUUCACAACAUUUCCAGCCUAUUCGGACAGGUCUUGUGAAUCAUAUAAGGCCUUUCUUUUUUCUCCAGAAGGAUAGCUAGCCAGAGAUACUUGCCUGCUUCAUACUCUCUCAGUUCGAGUAUACACCCCAUGUACAUAGCUAGACUCACACUCAGUAUAUAUAUCUAAUGAGGUAAUAUACUAACACAUAUCUUCCUUGUUGUUUUGUAGUAAUUUACGCUUAAGUAUCUGACUCAUAUGCGUACUACGAGUGUUUACUCAUGAAUCUAUUAACCAUUAUUCAUAGUCUUCACAGCACUCCAAGGUGAACAGUAUGUCAAUAAUCCCAAGUGUGUUAACUAGACAUGUGCCAUGGUAACUACAAUGUAGUCACACAUACAUGUUAUGACAUCAGUCAGACAUUAGUGUUUUACCAUAUAAGUGUACUCUGAGCACAAAUCCACACUCUAUAAAGCAGACGACUUACAAAAUUCCUAUCCAUUCUAACGGCACCUAAGAGGAAACAACUCUCAUCACCCCAAACUGGUUAUUCAUGGUCCAACAAGGAAUCGUGUUAGGACACGUAGUAUCUGAUAAAGGAAUUGAAGUAGACAAAGCUAAGAUCGAAAUUAUAGAGAAUCUUCAACCUCCGAAAACCGUACGAGAAAUACGAAGCUAUUUAGGACACGCCAGUUUCUACCGACGCUUUAUCAAGGACUUCUCGAAAAUUACCAAACCACUGACUGGUUUAUUAAUGAAAGACGCUGACUUUAUCUUUGAUGAGAAAUUUUUAUAUACAGUCACGAGACAUAUCACCCGAUGGAAGUUCACAUGGUGUUUGUAAGAUUUGUUAGUUAUUGUUUUGGGAUGUUUGUAUUGUGGUUCAUGGAGAAGUAUUGGAGGGAGACGAUUCAAAUGUUUUGGCAAUGAAGUAUGAAGAGUCACGGUUGAAGGGUUUUUAAAAGUUGUAGGUGGUGAUGUACAUGGCCUUUUUUAUGGUGAGAAAAAUAAUAAGAGAGAAUAUGUAUUGUUUGUUUUUUCUUGUUUUAUAGGGAAUUCAAAUGAAGUGAGGUAAUAGUGAAUGAAGAAAAAUAUCAUAUUAUAUGUGGCUUUAGAUGUGAGAGUGUUGGUUCCUUUUUAUUUAUUUUUUCACAUUUUGAGAUGAAGAGUCCUAUAUGGUGUAGCUAGGGUUUCACCAACACUUAAAGAUCAUAGUACCAUUCUUUUAGAUAUUUUAUGGGAUUAAAAUAGGUUAAACAAUAAAAAUGAAAUAAAUUCUAUAAAUUUCUUAUAAAUACAAAUAAAAUCAAAUGACCUCACAUUUGUCUCUAUUUAUAUUUUUUCAACAAUUUUUUUAAAAAUAAAAAUAAAAGAAUUCAAAAUGAAUAAAAAUUGGGCACAAAAGUGUUAGAAAAACUAAACUGAAUGCACCAAAAUGAUCAGAAUGAAAUAACUUCUCGGAAACAUAUAAGUUUUGAUCAAAUUUUGAAAUAAAAAAAAUGACUGGUUAAAACUCUUAGACUUUUUAAAAUGCGACCGAAAAAGUAGUUCAAAAAAAUAAAAUGAGAAUGUCAGGUUAAACUAUGCAAACUGUAGAUUGAUCAAAUUGACGUCUGCAAGCUCGAUUUUGAAAUUUUUCGCCCGUUAAUUUCAAGUACAUUUGAGAAUCAGUUUGACCAGUCUGUCUGCGAAUCUGAAAAUUUAUUUCAAUCAAUAUUUUAAGCAUUAUGUAAGAUGAAAUGCAUGUUAUGAUAUGCAAAUGAUGUGAAUGCCAUAAUGUAUGUAUCAAUUUAUUGAAUGAUGGUCAAAAUUGCGGUAUGACAUUAGUCAUAUUUUGAGUUGAGUAAUUCAGGGGAAUUACAGUGAGGUCUGAUAAUUUGUGAAUGUAUGGUUCAAGAGUCGAACCUGUUUGAGUAUGAAAUUUUGAGAAUAAUUUUGGUGAUUCUUUAAGUUUUAUUAUUGUUUUCUGCCAUAAUCAUGCAUACAUAUAUAUUAGAGAUAGGUAGGACUUUGGUCCAGUGAGGUCAGGUUCAGAGAGGAAUCAUGUCGGUCUCAUGUCUAGAGAGGGACACGGUCCGGAGACAUGGAUAAAUUAGUAACAUGCCUUUGAAGCCCAAAACCCGAUACCACAUGCAUAUUGGAGGAGAAGUUGGUGCAUUUUGCAUAUGCAUUUUAAAUUGUAUUAUUGUUGUUGUUGUGUGAGAAUGAUCUAUGUAUUUUUAUAAAUGUCUUGUUGUUUACUUUCACCGCUAACAUUUGUGAGGAUUAUUCUCACCCCCUUUAUUUUGUUUGUGCGUGGAUUUUAUGCCCAUGUUGCAGAUACAGGUAGCAUGUAGUGUUGUUGUAUGGAAGAAUGGUGGUCAUUGCCUUCUUCUUUGUUUUUCCGUUUUGUCUAGUACCCUUUGUAUCGAUCUGGUAUUGUAACACAUGUGAUUGGGACGUUGUUUCUUUUCUUUUCAGAAUUACAGUGUUCAUUUCAAAAACUGAUGUUAUUUGAGUUAAUUUCAUUUGAUGAGACUAUGUGAAGAUAUUGUUUAAUGUUUUAUUUUUCUGCUGCGAGUUGUUUAAUUUAAUGACAUGUAUUUUAUUUUGAGAAUAUGUGGCACCCUUUGAUGAAAAAUAAUCUGAAUUAUUGUAUUAUUUUGUGAGUCAGGAAAUAGGGUGUUACAUAGUUGGUAUCAAAGUAGGUCAGAUCAUGGUUGUUUGAUGGUAUACAUAGAAAUGGAUGGAAAAAAUGAUCAUGCAAUCGCUGGUGCUUUGGAAGCUAUGGCUCAUGUGAUGGGAUAUGAUUUGUAAACUCAGCAGAAUCCAUGGGCUGAAGGUGGCGAAUCAUGUGGGUUGAGCAGGUUUCAUAGAAAUAAUCUUCCAACCUUUGAGGGAAGGUAUGAUCUGGAGGGUACUCAGGUUUGGUUGCAAGAGAUCGAGAAAAUCUUCUGAGUGAUGACUUGAACACAUGCCCGGAAGAUCCUGUACAAUACUCGUAUGCUGGAUUAGGAAGCGGAGUAUUAAUGGGACAAUGCUCAUAAGAGGUUGGAAGUUGUAGGUAUUGAGAUCACAUGGCAGAACUUUAAGACCAAUUUCCUUGAGAAGUACUUCCUGACUGACGUUCGUAGCAAGAAGGAGAUCGAGUUCCUUAACCUAAAGCAAGGGAACAUGACUGUUGCGGAUUAUGCUACUAAAUUCAAAGAGUUUUCUAGGUUCUUCCCUCAUUACAAUGGGGUAGGAGCUAAACAAUCAAAAUGCAUCAAGUUUGAGAGUGAUUUGCAUCCAAAAAUCAAAUAAUUCUUUGGGUACCAAGAUAUUCAGUUCUUUGUGCUGGUAAUAAGUUUUGUAUCUAUGAUGAAGAUAUUUGUGCUAGAUCUACUCAUCACAAAAGUGGUAGUGAUAAGAGAAAUGGUAAUCAGAAUCGCGGAAAGUCGUAUGUGGUUCUAGAUGCUAAAGGCAAAAAUAAAUUUCAACGAAAAAAUAAUGUUGGGAAAGGUCAAAGUGAGAGAGGUGCUCCUGUUCCUAUUAUGUGUGUUAAUUCUCUAUUUUUGUGAUUGACAGUAAUUUUGGUAAAACUAACUUAGCAGCAACAGGUUGAACAAGAUGUCUUAACAUGUGGAUCUGAUAUCAUGUCUUAUACAGGUCUACUCUUGUUAACAGUUGAUUGAUCAACAGAUUACUGAAUAUUCUGGGAAUAUUAAGUAAUCCUAUGUGGCCUCCAAGAUUGAGGAAUCAUAGAUUCUAUUUGAAUUUAAAGUUAUUCUGUUUUUCUAAAUGUCAAGACAUUUUAGGAAAAUUUUGAUUGAAGACCUAAUUCUAUGCAGAAUAUUCUACAUCUGUCUCGCUGCAUGUUUGAAGCCCAAAUCCAGUCCAGACUUUGGUUAUAAAUAGAAUGCCUCAAACUUAAUUGAAAGAUGGAUCAAAUAUUGUUUCACUGAGUUGUUAGGGUUUGUGUGGUCUUGUUAAUUGUGAGCCUCUCUAAUAUCAUCUUGAUAUAAGAGUAGGACUGUCUCUAUUGAGUUGUAAGUUCUGUCAAUCACCCAUAAGAUUUUAAGCAUUUAGUGAUUGUGUGUUUGUGAAGUGUGACUUCUGAAACCUUCAUAAUUGUCUUGAUUUAUCACUGUUGUGAUUGAAAGGGAAGUGAGAAGGGUCUCAUACCUAGGCGUGUCUUAGGUAGAAAUUAAGCACGUGUGAUGAUUAGAGAGUAGAUUGUAAACUGGAGAUAGUUUGCUGAAGGUCUACAAACUAAUAUUAUUUAGUGGAUUUCCUCCCUGGCUUUCUAGCCCCCAGAUGUAGGAGUUGUUGUACACUGAACUGGGUUAACAACUCUGUGUGUCCUAUUAUUUUCUGUUCUCAUAUCUGUAUGUUAUAUUGUCAUUGCAUUUUGAUCAGAUAUCAGUGUCUGGACAUCUCUUAGAACUUCUUAUAUCUGCAUACCAGAAUUUCAAUUGGUAUCGAAGAAGGCAUCAUGCUCUGUGUAUGGGUGAGAUUCAGGGAAGAUACUUUCUGGUAUAACGGACAAGGAAGGAAAGUUUGUGAAUAGAUCACCCAUUCUUGAUGGAACCAUCUAUGACUACUAGAAAGCUCGUAUGGUGGCCUUUAUUAAAUCCAUGGACAACAAGGCUUGGAAAUUUGUGGUCAAGGGAUGGGAUCCACCAAUAAUUAGAGAUAAAGAUGGUAAGAUUACUGACGUGUUGAAGGAUGAGGAAGACUGGGAUGAUGAAGAUAAUAAAUUAGUUCAGGGAAACUCCAAAGCAUUGAAUGUCAUAUUUAAUGGAGUGGACAAGAACAUCUUCAGACUAAUAAAUAAUUAUACUGUUGUUAAAGAUGCUUGGGAGAUCUUGAAGGAUGCUCAUGAAGGAGCCUCUAAGGUGAAGAUGU
rnacentral:lncRNA from 1 species